GGUACUGUGGCCGAGUGGUUAGGUAAAGGUCUGCAAAAUCUUUAACAGUGGUUCAAUUCCACUCAGUACCU
rnacentral:tRNA from 2 species